UACGGGAGGCAGCAGUGGGGAAUAUUGCACAAUGGGGGAAACCCUGAUGCAGCGACGCCGCGUGAGCGAAGAAGUAUUUCGGUAUGUAAAGCUCUAUCAGCAGGGAAGAAACUGACGGUACCUGACUAAGAAGCACCGGCUAAAUACGUGCCAGCAGCCGCGGUAAUACGUAUGGUGCAAGCGUUAUCCGGAUUUACUGGGUGUAAAGGGAGCGUAGACGGAGCAGCAAGUCUGGAGUGAAAACCCGGGGCUCAACCCCGGGACUGCUUUGGAAACUGUUGUUCUAGAGUGCUGGAGAGGUAAGUGGAAUUCCUAGUGUAGCGGUGAAAUGCGUAGAUAUUAGGAGGAACACCAGUGGCGAAGGCGGCUUACUGGACAGUAACUGACGUUGAGGCUCGAAAGCGUGGGGAGCAAACAGGAUUAGAUACCCUGGUAGUCCACGCCGUAAACGAUGACUGCUAGGUGUCGGGUGGCAAAGCCAUUCGGUGCCGCAGCUAACGCA
rnacentral:rRNA from 1 species